GCGCCAUCCACUGAACUCGCGUUCGUCAUCGUCUUCACGGGUUCCUGUCGCCGCCGUCGUCCCCGCCGUGAAGCCUGUCACCGUUGCUGCAGCUGUCAGCGUCGUCGUCCAUGGGUGAAGCAGAGGAGAGAGAUCCGCGAGGAAGGGAGGACCACGCCCGUCCAGCCGCCGCGCACAGUCGCCGCUCAUGUUGCCAGUGCCAUCCCCGUCAGAUCCGCCAUUGCCGAAGCUUCUGGCCGUGCCUCUGUCGCCGGACAACACCGCUGCCACUUGGAACCCCCAUUGAAGUCGGUAUCUGUGUGGUAAGCGCUAAGCUUGCUUCAGCUUCUUUGUCUAUUAAGUUGGUUUUUACCGUGAGGGUGGUUGCUGAGAUUAUCUGUGUCAGGAUGUAUGGUCACAUGGUCACUGCAAGUUUUUCUGUCCUACGCCACCAUUGGAGCCGCCCAACCGAUGCUGAAAUCCCUGCUGCUUUGUGUUCUUUUAUAGGAUCAAUAGCCGAGCUUACAUGUAGUGAUUGAGGCUGUCUCUGCUUUUGGGAAAGCAAGCGGAGCAGAGGCUUCAGUUGCCGCUGAUUUUGGACUGAGAGAAACGAGUUCAGUUGACGCGUUUGGAUUAUGGUUUCGCGUGUCGAGGAACCGGAUGAAGAAGCAUUAAGAAGAGUUAUAUUGCGUUUGGUUUAUAUGCUGUUGUAUUAUUUAGAUUAUUUUCUUCCCUCGUCUUUGUGACUACAAGUUUGUAAGAGGGAUAGGAAUUGUAUGUUUUAUAUGUAUAAUAUAUUGAGUUAUUAUGUAAGGAGUUUUGUAUAUGAA